UACAGAGGGUGCGAGCGUUGUCCGGAAUCACUGGGCGUAAAGAGCGCGCAGGCGGUUGGAUAAGUCGAAUGUGAAAGCCCCCGGCUCAACUGGGGAGGGUCAUUCGAUACUGUCCGACUCGAAGGCAGGAGAGGGAAGCGGAAUUCCCGGUGUAGUGGUGAAAUGCGUAGAUAUCGGGAGGAACACCAGUGGCGAAGGCGGCUUUCUGGCCUGUUCUUGACGCUGAGGCGCGAAAGCCAGGGGAGCAAACGGG
rnacentral:rRNA from 1 species